AGAAUCAACGCUGGCGGCGUGCCUAACACAUGCAAGUCGAACGAGGAAGUGGAGCAAUCCAUGAGUAAAGUGGCGACCGGGUGAGUAACACGUGACUAACCUACCUUCGAGUGGGGGAUAACCUCGGGAAACCGAGGCUAAUACCGCAUAACAUCGUGAGAUCAAAGCAGUAAUGCGCUGGAAGAGGGGGUCGCGGCUGAUUAGCUAGUUGGCGGGGUAAUGGCCCACCAAGGCGAAGAUCGGUA
rnacentral:rRNA from 1 species